GACCCUAUAUAAAUAUAUAUCUAUGUUAUAUAAGAGGUUAUCAAACCGCUAAAGACAUAAAUUCUUGUUUUAAUGACUAUCAAACGGAAAUUCUUGAUUCCAUUCUCUUGAAAGAUCUCUCCCUCCCACUCUCUCCCUCUCUCUCAGUCCUCUAUAUAUUCUCUUUCUUCAGAUCUACUUUCUCUCAGCUCUCUCUGUUUUUUGCCGAUUCUCUCUAACCUUCAACCUUCAUCUGCUUCUCUAACCCUCACACACUCAUACUUAUUCUCUCUCACUUUCGGUAGCCGCUAGCAAUGUCGUGCAUCUCCUCCAGCCACCAAUGUAGCCACCCACAGCAGCAACACCGCCAAACGCAAUCUCCCAAACCAUUGAAGCCGUGAGACCUAGCCACAACACAUUUCCCGUGUUUGGUCUCAAAGAAAAUGAAGAAAACUGCAGUCUAGGUCAGCCAACGAAGAACACGAUUGUUCUUCAUGGGAAAGAUCGUGUAUAUGUUAACAGUCAGUACCUUGUGAUGUAAUCUGGGCUAAGGGAAAUACAAAUGAACGAUGGAAGAAGCAGUAACAGCAAUGCACAGAGGGUGUUCUUGUUUCUGGUUUUGUUCUUGUUUGGU